UAAUAAUUGAAUAAUCAAAUUUUUAUCUUUGCGUAACAAAAGUGUAAUAUUAUUUUCUAAAAAUUUGACAACAAUUAAAUUUUUUUUCCCGAAGAUAAUAAUUUCAUUUUCAGAACAAUGAAAAUCUUCAGUAGAUGAAGAAAAUGCUAAGAGCAAAGGAUAAAAGGACAUAAAUGGUGUUUACCGGAGUCCCAUUCGCACCUUCUUGAGCUAAUCUCCUGGUCUGCACCUCGUGAUCCGCCGCCUCAGCUUCUCCUCUCAAACAUGCGCCAUCGAAUAUGAACCUGCAAGAGGAGAAUACAGAACAAGAACAAACAACACAAGAAAAACUAGCACAAAUCUCUUAAGAAAACCCUCUCCAAGUAAGCACAUAGAUUUAUCAAACGAAAAAUAGCCACAAAACUAUCACAGUGAGGGGAGGGUUAAACCUACAACCAGAUGGAGAGAAGGAGUCCCUCUGAGUCGGGGAAAGCCGAUAAGCGCAGCAGGGACGAGUGCCUAAAAUAGAGAACGACCAAAGAAAAAGGAAAAAG
rnacentral:misc_RNA from 1 species